GAUGGCUCUCACCACCUCUACCCCUUCCUCACUGACAAUCUCUCCUCUCCUUCCUCUUCAUCUAUUUUUUCCUCAUCUUCCUCCUUUAAUCUCACCCACGACCUCUCUUUCUCCUUUCUCUUUCUCCUUAACAAUUUCUCCUCCGCCUCCUCCUCCUCCUCAUCCACAUUCUUCUCCUCCAAGCCCACUUGUGAGCCCUCUCCCUCCAUUUAUGGUGGCUCUCUCUACUCCGUCUACCUCAUCGAUGAAGCCUCCUUCCCCUUCUCCCUCUUCCAUUUCUCCUCCUCCUCCAAGCCCACUCACUCCUCCAUCCUUAUCUCCUCUUUUUCUACCUCCAUCCCUUCCUCGCUAAUAACCCC
rnacentral:lncRNA from 1 species